UGUAGACUAGGCUGGAGUAGAACUCAGAGGGAGCUUCAGCUGCCUCCUGUGCUAUAGUGGAUACACCCAUGUCCCACAGGGUGAUAUAUUUAAAACGAGAUGUGGUGGACAAUCGGUUACAUUUACUACUAUUGAUACAAAACAAGAAUCGCCAAAUGGCAGUCAGAAAUGAAGAUCGUCC